rnacentral:rRNA from 1 species
ACAGCAGCAGCCGCGGGAAUACGGAGGGUGUAAGCGUUAAUCGGAAUUACUGGGCGUAAAGCGCACGCAGGCGGUUUGUUAAGUCAGAUGUGAAAUCCCCGAGCUUAACUUGGGAACUGCAUUUGAAACUGGCAAGCUAGAGUCUUGUAGAGGGGGGUAGAAUUCCAGGUGUAGCGGUGAAAUGCGUAGAGAUCUGGAGGAAUACCGGUGGCGAAGGCGGCCCCCUGGACAAAGACUGACGCUCAGGUGCGAAAGCGUGGGGAGCAAACAGGAUUAGAUACCCGUGUAGUCCCUGUCUCUUAUAA